rnacentral:lncRNA from 1 species
CUAUUAUUUCUCAACCUGCCGAUCCACCUGGAAACAAAGAGAGAGCCCCGUUGCAUUGCGGGCUGCUAGCCAGAUCCCGCAAUAUAUGACUUCUGCUUUAGAGAAGAGAAAUUCCUGCAAAGUGGAAGAAUCUCAGCCACAAAUAAUGGUUGUUCAAUAUAAAAACAGGCAUUAAAAGGAAAGACAGGAUGAAGCUUUUUUACUUUCCUUUUGUUUCUUUGCUUAGAAGAACAAAGGAUUGGGAAGAACAGAAACAGUAAAGGACAGGUGAGUUUCUAAGGGUAAGACAUGUUUUCCUCUGAUUAAAAAUGCUCCAUAUCUUUUAUUUCUGGUAGAAUUAGAGUCUGCAAAUUUUGAAGCAGGCAUUCCUCGCUGGAUGCUUAGAAUAACAUUAUGCCCUUGUCUUCUUAUAUUAAUGUAUUCCAAGGCUCUUAUCACUGUUUAAAAAGUAGUUUGAAUGCUUUGAUAUUCCAUAUCCAAGGAUAUUGAUCUGCCUUAUUGUUUUUGGAGAGGUUAAUGAAAAGAAACUCUCUUUGCUUCACCCUAUUAGAAAACCCCAUGAUUCAAUGUAGAUAAAGUUCUAAUUUUUAUAUUUGGAAACUAUUUUUAAAUAAUUCAAUUUGCAAAAGACAGUAUUUUCUGUUUCCUUUUUCAGUGCUUCCUAUAGCCUAUUUACCUCUGUUCUUCACUUAAGGAAAUUGUAGAAUAAUUAAUAUAAGACUUCAGAAUUAUGGAGCCAAUAGAUGUUACAGAAUCUGUAUCUCUUAUUCUUAAAGAAGUAUCUGCCUCCUCAAUGGAAAAGAACUAUAGCCUUUUCUUUCUCAAUGUUUUCUCACGGUCAAGUAUAAUUAUUCAAUCUUUUUCAUAUCCACAUCUUCCCAUCCACCCAAUUUAGGAGAAAUUCUCUUUAAAAAUAUUUAGAGCUUUAAACUCUGGUUGAGUGCCACUUCUACUAAGUUAACAAGAUGUUAAUAUGUCAUUCCAGGAAUGUAUGAAGUCAAAAUGUCUAUCCAAGAUCCUCUUCUUCACAACCUAUAUAUAGGAGAAUAUGACAGCAUUCAUAUAUCCUGAAUAAAUUAGAAAGUCUAUCAGAGAACAAGUGUGAGGGAUACCAACUCUGAGCUGAAUAAGGACACGUUCUCAUCAGGGAAGAUUUGUUUUUGCCUGCGUCUUGGUAAAGUUGCUUUUUACCCUCUCAAUUAUUGGACGGAAAGUCUGUCUUCCCCCUGAGGCCAUUUAAAGGAACACAGAUGACUUCUUUACAUUUUCCUUCCCUUCUUCAAGGCUUAAUGAACUUUAGGGUGAAGUUUAUAAAGCCCAGAACAGAGAGCUUGCUCAAAAACACUGUGAAGUGCCCGAUGACGAUCUAUUUUUUCCUAUUUGUGAGAAUCAGAGAUUUGGAGAGCUCGUCCUUUCGCAUUUAUGUUUCAACACUUAAGUGUGACUUAACAAGAUGUUUAAAGCUGAGACUGGGGUAGAAUAAUUCUUGAGACUUAAGGGAUGUUGAAUUUCACACUCUAUAUAAGGGAGCUUAGCAUACCAAUCUUUGCUUUAGGGGAGAAUCAGGGAGCUAUUCUAGGGUUUGCUAAGUAUAAUAGUUGACACAGCAGAGAAAUCUUUCACUUUUGGCUUCCUGCCAUGCCCUGUGAAUAAAGGAGUAUGCCAGUUACUUAUAGGACUGUUUUUCCCUUGGGAGAUUUAGUUCUAGCUCACCUUAACUCAUUACUGAUUCACGGGCUGCUGUUUUUGGCUAAAUGUGUUAGAGGAGCAAUGUUAGCUGAGAGGCUAUCAAAAUUUGCAACAGGCUCUUCCAUCAUCCCAUCCCUUUGGAACUCUGCUGUCAAAAAAUCCACUCAAGACACUGCCUUUCUUUUUUCUCUUCCAUCCGUCCCCAUGAGUACUUUUUCCAAUUAAGGUCAGCUUGUAAAAGGACUACAUUUAUUAUUCAUGUUUCUAUCAUUUGCACUUUACUAGGCACUCUUUUUAUUAAGCACCAGUCCAUAAAAUGCCUGGAAGUUCAUCCUUUUUUUCUAUUCCCCACUGACAGUUGGCUUUGAUGUAGAGGGGAGAAAUGGAUCUGCUCAACAUUUCUAGCUCAAGUAGAGUCUUAGGCUAGAUGGCAAAAGUAGUUUAGCUGCUAAGACCCUUUGGCUGCAUCAUUAGACCAGCAUGUAAUUAUAUAUUUUAUAGGUAGCCCAGGGUAGACUGAAAUCAUCAUUUCCUAAAACGGACUUAGCAAUUAUCUUGGUAGAUAGGUGUUUGUUUAUUGAGUCUUAUCACUUUAGAAUUAAAGAGCAUGUCAAGAGAAAUACUUUAAAGAUAAUCCCAGAGAAUUUUCUAUUAUUCCCUGAAUAAUAGGAGAACAGAUUUGUUUACUUAAAAGUUGUGCUUAGAGGCCAACAGAUAACGAAGUUGUACAGAUAGCCUUUGGCACUCAUGGCAUGUAACAAAGUGAAAAUUUUUGGUUUAUGGAAACUAAGCCCAAACUACCAUUUUGCACAUCAUUACAGUGAUCCUGAUUUGGACUGUUGCUAGCCCACAUAUAUCCACUAUAAGAGCAUUUUCCUGCUCCACUAAACCCUAGACUAUUGUGAAAUUUUUGUUGAAUUCAUUAGUACCAAUUUAACCUAUUAAUUACUGAUAGAAAAUACAAAAAAAAAAAAAAAAACUAUGGGACCUUUGUGCCCAAGAGUGACUUAGCUAGUUUGUAUGACGAUUUCUCUGUGCUAAUAAGUUGACUGGGGAAGUAUAAAUGACUAAAGGAGUAGGGUUACAAAAUCACAUUAUUGAACACAAAAACAACUUUUUUUUUCAGCAUCACCUUGAUUUAUUUUCCUAGUAUUUUUUUCCUCAGAUGGAAAAAUAAUUUCAUCAAGAAAACAAAUGCUUCUGCCAAAGUGAAAGAAUUUUAUGUCUUA